UACGGAGGAUCCAAGCGUUAUCCGGAUUUAUUGGGCUUAAAGGGUGCGUAGGCGGCCUAUUAAGUCAGGGGUGAAAGACGGUAGCUUAACUAUCGCAGUGCCUUUGAUACUGAUGGGCUUGAAUGAACUAGAGGUAGGCGGAAUGUGACAAGUAGCGGUGAAAUGCAUAGAUAUGUCACAGAACACCAAUUGCGAAGGCAGCUUACUAGGGUUUUAUUGACGCUGAGGCACGAAAGCGUGGGGAUCAAACAGG
rnacentral:rRNA from 1 species